rnacentral:rRNA from 1 species
GACGGGGCCCGCACAAGCGGUGGAGCAUGUGGUUUAAUCGAAGCAACGCGAAGAACCUUACCAGGCCUUGACAUGCAGAGAACUUUCCAGAGAUGGAUUGGUGCCUUCGGGAACUCUGACACAGGUGCUGCAUGGCUGUCGUCAGCUCGUGUCGUGAGAUGUUGGGUUAAGUCCCGUAACGAGCGCAACCCUUGUCCUUAGUUACCAGCACGUUAUGGUGGGCACUCUAAGGAGACUGCCGGUGUUAAACCGGAGGAAGGUGGGGAUGACGUCAAGUCCUCAUGGCCUUUAUGACCAGGGCUACACACGUACUACAAUGGCCGAUACAAAGGGCAGCGACACUGCGAGGUGAAGCCAAUCCCGUAAAAUCGGUCUCAGUCCGGAUUGGAGUCUGCAACUCGACUCCAUGAAGUUGGAAUCGCUAGUAAUCGUGGAUCAGCAUGCCACGGUGAAUACGUUCCCGGGCCUU